AACGCUGGCGGCAGGCCUAACACAUGCAAGUCGAGCGCCGUAGCAAUACGGAGCGGCAGACGGGAGAGUAACACGUGGGAACGUACCCUUUGGUUCGGAACAACCCAGGGAAACUUGGGCUAAUACCGGAUAAGCCCUUACGGGGAAAGAUUCAUCGCCGAAGGAUCGGCCCGCGUCUGAUUAGCUAGUUGGUGGGGUAAUGGCCCACCAAGGCGACGAUCAGUAGCUGGUCUGAGAGGAUGAUCAGCCUCACUGAGACUGAGACACGGCCCAGACUCCUACGGGAGGCAGCAGUGGGGAAUAUUGGACAAUGGGCGCAAGCCUGAUCCAGCCAUGCCGCGUGGGUGGUGAAGGCCCUAGGGUUGUAAAGCCCUUUCGGCGGGGAAGAUAAUGACGGUACCCGCAGAAGAAGCCCCGGCUAACUUCGUGCCAGCAGCCGCGGUAAUACGAAGGGGGCUAGCGUUGCUCGGAAUCACUGGGCGUAAAGCGCACGUAGGCGGAUUGUUAAGUCAGGGGUGAAAUCCUGGAGCUCAACUCCAGAACUGCCUUUGAUACUGGCGAUCUUGA
rnacentral:rRNA from 1 species